ensembl:lncRNA
CCCCCGAUUUUUCCUGCCCAGCCAGGAGGCUGCAGGACCCCCAGAUCCAGCCCCACCCUGCAGCAAUCUCAGCUCGGUCUCCACCCUGCCCGCCCGGGGUUCCCCGGGUGCCCCCCUCCUACCUGCGGGGUCGGACGCGGCUUUGCUCGGCUCCCUGUGCACCUCCCGGUCCUGCGGAGGGGGUAUAUAAGGGGCCGGGGAGAAACUUCUGGAAAGUUGGGAAAACCCUCUCAAAAAUGCUGGGGAGGGAGAGGAAGGGGAGGAUCCGUGCCGGCUGUGUCCCGGCCCGCCGCCAAUGGCAGGGAAUGCCGGCCCCGCGCCGCCGAAGGGGGGUCGGGCUGGAUGGGGGAUGCGCGUUCCCUCCUCCUGCCCUGCCUGGAGCCCUGCCUGAGCCCAGCCAGCCCUUGCAGCAGGAACAUGGGCAACUAUUCCCUGCACAAGCUGUGCUUUUGCCUUUUCACAUCUUAUUUCCAUCCUCUCCCUCCCCCGGGCGUUUCCUGCAGCUGGAUGGUUGUUGGUACCAAAGGCAGUGUGGUGGAGGAGAAGGAAAAGACCUGAUUGCUGUGGAGAAAAUUCCCCCUCCAUGGCAUCAUCCAGGUAUGUCGUGGUGCACAAACCAGGGAGGACAGGCUACAGAGGCUGCAGCUGCAGCUUUCCCACAGGGCACAGCAGAGAGAGAUUCCCUUGAUCCCAGUUUGUAAUCCCUGUUUAAUACUCCCAGAGAAAAGUUCAAAAUCCACAGGGUUUCCUGCCAGCACAGCCAGGCAGGGGGGCGGAAUUCCUCUGGUGCUUUUGGGUGGAAAGAAUGACAUCUGUGUGGCCUCAGCACAGGGCCAGCACGGGUGAUGGCAGGUUGGAUUGCAAGCCCCUGCAUCCCACACCUUCCUGGAAGCUGGGCUAAGGCAGGAGGAGAUGGAAUCCUUGUGGGUGUGGCAAGAGGGAUUUGCAAUCUCUUAGGAGGACCCACGGGGCUGUGGGAUCCUGUGCUGUUCCUACACUGACCUAGGAGUGCUGGUUUGGGGUCGUGGCAAGCCAAGAGGACUCCAGGAUGUGCCUUGCAGGGUAAUGUUUCACUCAAUGGUCCUAGAGGACUUUUCCAACCUUAAACUCCAUGAUUCUAAGAUGAGCCCUGGUGAUGAGCACUCCUUACCUUCUCCCUUCUGCCUCACAGUGACUGGGACUGGCUGCAUCCUCCCAAAAAGCAGCAGCCAAAAGGAAAAGCAAGUGCUUGGUUUGUCAGCCACAUCAGCCCCACGGGUGCAGGGGCCAUCUCAAGGACAGGAUGUGAGAGCACCAGGGCUUUGGGAUGCUGCAACAUCAGUUUCCUCACUGGAAACAGGCAGCAAGGAAGGUGCCAGUUCCAGGUUUUCACCCUUUAUUAGGAAAUACAAGCAGAGAAGGUCCAGGUAGUCAAUCUGCUCUGCACAGAGUGGAGCUGUGGAGGGGAAUCUCUGAGGUCUUGUUAAAAGCUGAGCUCACUCUGCUGCAAUGAGCUCUCCCUUGUCUCUUCCUGGCAUUUUCCAGGAACAUAUGGGAAUGUGAAAAGUCUGAGCUCUGCCUGCCCUUCACAUUUGGUGGAAGCUGAGAGGAGGCUCAGCCCCACACGCUCCCCCCUCAGCGUUUCAGCUCUCCCGAGGAAAGCGGGAUGUAAAAGGAAACUGUUUAUUCUGGAGCCAGCUGAGGGAACAGAAACGCCCCUAA